rnacentral:lncRNA from 1 species
UUUAGGCCCCGUUUGGUUGCCAAGAUAAGCCAUGAUUAACUAAAUAGUUGGACUUAAUUUGAUGUUUGGUAUCCUCAAUAACUUGCCGGGUCGACCCGCCAAAAUUAAAUAAUCAUGGCUUAUCUUGCCUUAUCUUGACUUAUCUUGCCUCUUAAUGAGUUUUUUUUAUUGGACCUUUCAAGCUCCAAUAAAAUAAUUGGGUCUCAUUAGAUUAUUUAAUCUUAUCUUGGCUAAUCUUAUCUUGUCAACCAAACGGGGCCUUAA